AAAAUUUACUAAUCCUGGAAUUGAUAGAUGUUCUUUUUCUCUAAUAGGAAAUUUGCUGCUAGAGCACUGGAAAUCAGCUAGGUUGUCCCUAGAUGGAAAUUUGCUGCUGGAGUACUGGAAAUCAGCUAGGCUGUCCCUAGAUGGUAGACUUUUUAAUCUUUUAAUAUGGUCCUUCAUAUGUGAUGAUUACUGUUUUUAGUAUUAGUUUGGAGUCAUUUGACCAGAUGCAUGAAUUUUUUCUACUCUAUAGUACCAAAAUUUGAGUUGGAAUAUGAACUACUCAUGUUGUUUGCUAUAAAACAAGCUGGUUUUACUCAUUUGAGUCUUGGAUCAACUAUGUACUUUUGUUGCACCAUGACUUACUCCAUAAACGAUAUUCAUGUUUGAUUUACGCGCCACUCUAGUAUAUUGACCAUUGUGAGCAUUCUGUUUAAUUUUGGAAUUAGUUCAAGAGUUGAAAAUCAAUCAGGAAUGUAUCAUUAAUAUGUUAGGAAGCUGGCAAUAGUAGCAAAUCUCAGUAAAAAUUUGGGAGAAUUGCAAAAAAGUGGCAUCAACACAAAAUAAUUGCAAUGUCAUGGAAGUAAAGCCAAUUUAUGCAUUAAAUUGUGCAACAAAGUCUUACACUUCCAUCUCUUUGUAAUUAUUUUGAGUUUAUAUCAUUUUUUUGCAAUUGUCUCUAAAAAUUUUAGAAAAACUAUUCAAAACAAUUUGAGGAAAAAGUAAACAAAAGUAGAUUAAUAUAAAGACUUAAUUGAAGUAACAAGGCUGGUUAGGAAGAAAGGGAAACAUGUACAGUUUGUGAAUUAUUGUGCCAAUUGAGGGAUUGAUUGUUGUUUUGGAAGCUAUUUUGAUAUUAAUAAGUGAUUUGUUUAUUGAUGAUGUACACAGACUGGGGUCUCUGUUAGACAUAAUUUGUAGGGGAAAAAUAAAAUAUAUAAAAUAAUACAUUUAAUUUACAGUGGCCACAUGUUACCGCUUCUCUUUUCUAUAUAUGUAUAUCACUUUGAUAGAUAGAUAGAUUGAUAGCACUACACUGGUAGAAUGGAAUAAAAAAUCUGAAUUUCAGCAUUUAACAAAUAAACUAGUUUUGCUGCUAGAUAGAUAUAGCCCAUGGAGAGCCAAUGGAUGGAAGCCAAAUUGAUGAGGAUUUAAAUGAGCCAACCAUGGGUGAGAAACUUACAAGUUUAAAUUUGCUAGAGAAUGACAAGGUUAAGAGCCUAGAGAAAAAAGAAAUUGCUCAGCACGCGAUGCCUCCAGUUUCAAUAGUAGAGGUUGAUGAUUUGUUUCCGAUAUUCUCUUGACAAUGGGAGCAGUAGUGGCAACAAGACUGUGACAAGAAUUCUUUCAGGACAACCUAUAUUCUUCAAGACUCUAUAACAAGACUGUAAAUGAGUGCCCUAUUUCUUGUUUCCAUAUACUAGUUUUUUAUGUGAAUUAGGGUGGGUAUUUGCAAGGAUUCUUUGAAUCAAAACUAUUGUAACGUCAAAUGUUUUUUGUACUUGCAAGAGGUGGAAAACCUUUGCAGUAUUCUUUCAAAAACUCUUUGUUAUUGUAACAAGAAUUUUAUUAAGAAAAGAGAUGA